rnacentral:pre_miRNA from 1 species
AAUAAGAUCAUUUUUUAGAUACAAUGUUUGACUCUUCGUCUUAUUUGAAAUUUUUUUACGAUUAAUAUUUUUAUUCUUAGUAGAUGAUAAAACAUGAAUAAUGCUUUAUCCUUGACUAAUUUUUUAAGUUUUUAUAUAAAUUUUUUAAAUAAGACGAAUGGUCAAAUGUUAGACAAGUAAAAAC